rnacentral:rRNA from 1 species
GUGGGGAAUUUUGCGCAAUGGGGGAAACCCUGACGCAGCGACGCCGCGUGAAGGAUGAAGGUCUUCGGAUUGUAAACUUCUUUUGUCGGGGAAGAUAAUGACGGUACCCGAUGAAUAAGCCACGGCUAACUCUGUGCCAGCAGCCGCGGUAAGACAGAGGUGGCAAGCGUUGUUCGGAAUUACUGGGCUUAAAGGGCGCGUAGGCGUCCCGGUAAGUCAGAUGUGGAAGCUUUCCGCUUAACGGGAAAAUUGCAUCUGAUACUGUCGGGAUUGAGUCAGCGAGGGGAUGGCGGAAUUCCAGGUGUAGCGGUGAAAUGCGUAGAUAUCUGGAGGAAGGCCGGUGGCGAAGGCGGCCAUCUGGCGCUGAACUGACGCUGAGGCGCGAAAGCGUGGGGAGCAAACAGGAUUAGAUACCCCGGUAGUCC